rnacentral:rRNA from 1 species
AUUGAACGCUGGCGGCAUGCUUUACACAUGCAAGUCGAACGGUAACAGGGUGCUUGCACCGCUGACGAGUGGCGAACGGGUGAGUAAUGCGUCGGAACGUGCCGAGUAGUGGGGGAUAACGCAGCGAAAGUUGUGCUAAUACCGCAUACGUACUGAGGUAGAAAGUGGGGGGCCUUCGGGCCUCACGCUAUUCGAGCGGCCGACGUCUGAUUAGCUAGUAGGUGAGGUAAAGGCUCACCUAGGCGACGAUCAGUAGCGGGUCUGAGAGGAUGAUCCGCCACACUGGGACUGAGACACGGCCCAGACUCCUACGGGAGGCAGCAGUGGGGAAUCUUGGACAAGGGGCGAAAGCCUGAUCCAGCCAUGCCGCGUGUCUGAAGAAGGCCUUCGGGUUGUAAAGGACUUUUGUCGGGGAGGAAAUCCCCAGCGCUAAUACCGCUGGGGGAUGACAGUACCUGAAGAAUAAGCACCGGCUAACUACGUGCCAGCCGCCGCGGUAACAC